rnacentral:rRNA from 1 species
AGAGCGUAUGGAGGAUGCCUUGGCUCCUAGAGGCGAAGAAGGACGUGACAAGCUGCGAAAAGCUGCGGGGAGGUGCAAAUAACUUAUCAUCCGCAGAUAUCCGAAUGGGGCAACCCAUCCCGAUUAGUUGGGAUAUUCCGUAAGGAAGGCAAACCCGGAGAACUGAAACAUCUUAGUACCCGGAGGAAAAGAAAACAAUAGUGAUUCCCUAAGUAGUGGCGAGCGAACGGGGAAUAGCCCAAACCAUGGUUGUUUCGGCAACUGUGGGGUUGUAGGACUGCGACAUUGGAGAUAUAAAUGAAUUGGAAUCGUACUGGAAAGUUGUACCAAAGAGGGUGAAAGUCCCGUACAAGUAAGUUUAUAUUAACAUAGCAGUAUCCUGAGUAACGCGGGACACGUGAAACCCUGUGUGAACCAGCCGGGACCAUCCGGCAAGGCUAAAUACUACUAGGAGACCGAUAGCGAACCAGUACCGUGAGGGAAAGGUGAAAAGAACCCCGAGCAGGGGAGUGAAAAAGAACCUGAAACCGUGCGCUUACAAGCGGUUGGAGUCUCGAUUUAUCGGGAUGACAGCGUGCCUUUUGCAUAAUGAGCCUACGAGUUAGUCGUCUCUAGCGAGGAUAAGGGCUUAAGGUCUGUAUCCGAAGCGAAAGCGAGUCUGAACAGGGCGUUCAGUUAGAGGCGCUAGACGCGAAACCUUAGUGAUCUACCCAUGACCAGGGUGAAGUCUCGGUAACACGAGAUGGAGGCCCGAACCAGUUGACGUUGAAAAGUCUUUGGAUGAGUUGUGGGUAGGGGUGAAAGGCCAAUCAAACUGGGAAAUAGCUCGUACUCCCCGAAAUGCAUUUAGGUGCAGCCUUGAUUUAUAGUGUUGCAGAGGUAGAGCUACUGAUAGGGUUAGGGGACUUCACCGUCUACCACCCCCUGACAAACUCCGAAUGCUGCAACAUGAUGAUCAGGAGUGAGGGCGCGGGUGCUAAGGUCCGUGUCCGAGAGGGAAACAACCCAGACCAUCAGCUAAGGUCCCCAAAUAUACGCUAAGUUGACCAAACGUUGUGCGACUGCAUAGACAGCUAGGAUGUUGGCUUGGAAGCAGCCAUUCAUUUAAAGAGUGCGUAACAGCUCACUAGUCGAGCGGUUGUGCGUGGAUGAUACUCGGGCAUAAGCGUAAUACCGAAGCUAUGGAUUUCUGCCGUUGGGCAGAACUGGUAGGGGAGCAUUCCAUUUAUGUUGAAUCGGUAUGGUGAUGUACCGUGGAGUAUAUGGAAAAGCAAAUGUAGGCAUAAGUAACGAUAAUGAGGGUGAGAAACCCUCACACCGAUAGACUAAGGUUUCCACGGCAAUGUUAAUCAGCCGUGGGUUAGUCGGGGCCUAAGGAUAAGCCGAACGGCGAUUCCGAUGGACAAUUGGUUAAUAUUCCAAUACCUGUUAUAACUGCGAUGGAGAGACGAAGUAGUGACAUAUCCGCGUACUGACGGAAUAGUACGUUGAAAGGUGUAGAUUAUGGUUGGGUUAAUAGCUCAGCUUUUCGAACCUGAAAGUACCAUGACCCUUCGGGUGAUUGGAUAGUGAUAGUAAUCCGACUUCCGAGAAAAUCUUCUAAGCUUCAGGUUAUAACAGCCCGUACCCUAAACCGACACAGGUAGUCGAGGAGAGAAUCCUGAGGUGCUCGAGUGAGUCGUGGCUAAGGAACUAGGCAAAAUUACCCCGUAACUUCGGGAAAAGGGGUUCCGCUGUGAGGCGGACGCAGAGAAAUGGCCCAGGCGACUGUUUAACAAAAACACAUGGCUUUGCAAAAUUGAAAGAUGAAGUAUAAGGCCUGACACCUGCCCGGUGCCGGAAGGUUAAGGGGGGAUGUUAUUCGCAAGAAGAAGCAUUGAACUGAAGCCCCGGUAAACGGCGGCCGUAACUAUAACGGUCCUAAGGUAGCGAAAUUCCUUGUCGGGUAAGUUCCGACCUGCACGAAUGGUGUAACGAUCUGGGCACUGUCUCAGCCACGAGCUCGGUGAAAUUGUAGUUCCGGUGAAGAUGCCGGAUACCCGCGACGGGACGGAAAGACCCCGUGCACCUUUACUAUAGCUUCAUAUUGAUUCUGGUUAAGUAAUGUGUAGGAUAGGUCGGAGACUAUGAAGCGGUUUCGCUAGGAAUCGUGGAGUCAACCUUGAAAUACGUCCCUUUGCUUAACUGGAACCUAAUUCCGAUUUAUCGGAAGACAGUGUGUGGUGGGUAGUUUGACUGGGGUGGUCGCCUCCAAAAGAGUAACGGAGGCUUUCAAAGGUACCCUCAGCACGCUUGGUAACCGUGCGUAGAGUGUAAUGGCAUAAGGGUGCUUGACUGUGAGACCGACGGGUCGAUCAGGUAGGAAACUAGGACAUAGUGAUCCGGUGGUUCCGUAUGGAAGGGCCAUCGCUCAAAGGAUAAAAGGUA